UGUUACCGUCGUUACGCGACGUUCAUUUGUCGCGCGACAUUCGAUUGAGUCGUUUCUCGUCGAAUUCCGGUAUACGUCUGAAAUUUAGAAUUCAAUCCCGUGAAAUAUUGAUACCCCGUGUGGUUGAUAACAGUGAUAAUUAUCACGAUACGUAGGAUAAGUUGAGGAUACUGAGAAGUGGGGCUCAGUGAAUAUUUUAGGAGUUUUCUUUCAGUUACGAACUUAUCCGCGCUCACUUGUUUCUCUCGACUUUUUUCGAAUAGUACGUUGAUGUUUUUUUCGAACGAGUGAUGCUGUGAGCUUCCCGACGAUAAUCGCGAAAUUACGAUGCAAUCGUCGUCGUAAACUUUCUACUGGGAAAAGAUGAGAUUGCCCCGAAGGUGUUUUCUACAGUAGUGUGUUGUGCUGUGGUAAAAUCAAGUGCUGGUGAUAAUCGAAUUCUUCCAAACGCCUUCAGUUUUCGAGGACCAAAUAGAGUGAUGGCUGCCUGGAUGCAUUUUUGAGUACUUGCUUGAUUUUAAAAGUGCCGUCACUUGAUUCGAGAUCGUCACGCCGUCUUAGGACUGCUGACGACAGGAUUGGCAACACUGUUUCUCGUAAAGAGGCACUCGGCACAUAUUCAUUGCUUUUACUUUACCGCAGAACUGCGAAAGAUCCUUACAGUGAUCUGAAACAUCGAAAUGGUCUACCGGUUUACGCACUUCGAUGAUGUUUGACGUUAUAUUACCCCGUGAUAUACGAGUCGGGCACGGACUUCAUUAUCGGAGUCGAAGAGAUGCCCGAAGGACGAGGAGGAGAAGAAGUCGUGGGCACCCACAACAUCGUGAAAUUUUAAAUUUUGCAGCCCUGACCUAUAAGGAGCCGACUGCGCUAGUCCUCGGAAAAAAGGAGCGUAACCAUCGAGCUAAAGUUUCCCGUCUUUCCCCAGGAGGAGUUUCGAUGGAAGCAGGAUAUAGUGUUUUCACCCCGGAGCCAGCCAAGCCUCUGCCCACCGACUUGAGAGAGGAUGAGGAUACUAUGGAACGACGAAACAAGUUUUGGUACUAUUUUCGCCAAAGACAAACCUAUCAGCCACUCGUUUUAUGGAGGAUAAGGACAUCAGAAUACAUAGUACACGGUGAACGUACGCACAACGACGCUGGACGCUGUGGCUCGGGAAACUAGUGAUCUUCGGUAAAAUUGUGUGAGAUCUGUAUGUAUGUAUGUAUGUAUACAAUUAUGUGUGUGUGUUUCGUUUAUUAUGCCUAGUUCAUACAUAGCCGAGAGACCAUGAGUUGUACAAAACAAUUCAUAGAGUGAAAAAUAGUAUAUAUUAUGAAAAUGAAAUACAAUACAACAUGAAAACGAAAUAAAAGAUAGUACCAAUAUGUUUGCAUGAUAAAGUGCAGAUUUACAUGUAGUGCGGAUAUGCGUAUAAUAUAUACUGGUAAUUGUGAAUGAUUUUGAUAUUGUUACUAUAAUUUGUAAAAUUACUUUGUUGAUUACAGUAUUUAAUGAGUAACGUAGAUGUACACUACUUUUUUCUCGAGUAACUUUCU